CACACAUUAUUAUUUAGAACAAUCAGACAAGUUCUUUUAACUAUGUUCACAUUUGUCAUGUUCAUUAAAAGACCAAAGCUCAUGGAAGAACCAUCAGAAGACCCUUGACGAACAACUAAAGAGCAACUACAGGAUGUAAAGUCUACCCUUAAUAAGUUAACAUGAAGACAUGAAGCAGAAAAAUGUGGUUGUGACUGAAGGCGACACAGGGAAGUGACAAAUAAGAUUGUUUUAAUUAAACAAAUUGCUUGAUCUGCUUUUAUGGCUAUUUAUUUAUUUAUUUGUUCUUAAAGCCUGUAAUAAGCAUGUAAUACAUUUGCUGUUACAAUAUUAGACAAUAUUUAUGUUAAAAUAAAAGUUUGUGACUCCUACUGAUUAGAUCCAAAAAUAAUUAUCAUAUAUACAUUUAAUAUAUAGUUAAACAAUAUAUGCUUCAUUUGUAAUUUUUUUUUUUUUGUUAGCCGUCUUUUUUUAUUUAUUCAUAUACAUUUUUUACUUCUAGUCUUUGGAGGACCUCCGUUAGAUGGCGCACCCUUUUGUAAUCAGUUGUGGAAAAGCAGAUGCGCAAUGGGUACAUUGCACUGUCUCCCUCGUCAACCCUCAGUGGGUCAAAUUAAGACCCCUGUCCAGUGUGUGGAAAACCCUAAAGGUUCAGGUGGAGUUAUAAUAUAUGACCAGAUGAUGUUCGCCAUGAACAAACAACACUUGGUGGCAGUUCUUCUCCCUAGAGGUGAAAAACUCUGUCAGACCAAUUCUGUUGUAAUAGAAAGUGAAUACGAGGAAGAUGAAUACCUCCCAAGACCUUAACAACAUCUCACCCUUUAUACUUCAAAUAAAGGC